rnacentral:rRNA from 1 species
AUUGAACGCUGGCGGCAUGCCUUACACAUGCAAGUCGAACGGUAACAGGUCUUCGGAUGCUGACGAGAGGCGAACGGGUGAGUAAUACAUCGGAACGUGCCUAGUAGUGGGGGAUAACUACUCGAAAGAGUGGCUAAUACCGCAUGAGAUCUACGGAUGAAAGCAGGGGAUCGCAAGACCUUGUGCUACUAGAGCGGCCGAUGGCAGAUUAGGUAGUUGGUGGGAUAAAAGCUUACCAAGCCGACGAUCUGUAGCUGGUCUGAGAGGACGAUCAGCCACACUGGGACUGGGACACGGCCCAGACUCCUACGGGAGGCAGCAGUGGGGAAUUUUGGACAAUGGGCGAAAGCCUGAUCCAGCAAUGCCGCGUGCAGGAUGAAGGCCUUCGGGUUGUAAACUGCUUUUGUACGGAACGAAAAGCCCUGGGUUAAUACCCUGGGGUCAUGACGGUACCGUAAGAAUAAGCACCGGCUAACUACGUGCCAGCCGCCGCGGUAA